rnacentral:lncRNA from 1 species
GCUCAUCCUAAUUGGUGACGGUUACUUUUCCGUGGUUCUCUACCCAGUAUCCGGUAGAUGUAAUCCCCUCCUUGAUGGUUAUCUUUAUCCAAUAUUCGGUAUUGAUACUCCCUCAUCUUUUGGAUAAUUGCUCUGAUCAAGCAAUUUAUCCCCAGCAAGUCAUCUCUCGUCUACCCUUUUGUUGUUGGUGACGAUUGUUUCUCCCCUGGAUCGGUCAUCAUUAUAUACCUAGUUUCGG